rnacentral:rRNA from 1 species
UACGAAGGGGGCUAGCGUUGCUCGGAAUCACUGGGCGUAAAGCGCACGUAGGCGGAUUGUUAAGUCAGGGGUGAAAUCCUGGAGCUCAACUCCAGAACUGCCUUUGAUACUGGCGAUCUUGAGUCCGGGAGAGGUGAGUGGAACUCCGAGUGUAGAGGUGAAAUUCGUAGAUAUCGGGAGGAACACCAGUGGCGAAGGCGGCGAUCUGGGAAGAUACUGACGCUGAGGUGCGAAAGCGUGGGGAGCAAACAGG